rnacentral:rRNA from 1 species
UACGUAGGGGGCUAGCGUUGUCCGGAAUCAUUGGGCGUAAAGCGCGCGUAGGCGGCCCAGUAAGUCCGUUGUAAAAGUCAAAGGCUCAACCUUUGAAAGCCGAUGGAUACUGCUGGGCUAGAGUCCGGAAGAGGCGAGUGGAAUUCCUGGUGUAGCGGUGGAAUGCGCAGAUAUCAGGAGGAACACCAAUAGCGAAGGCAGCUCGCUGGGACGUUACUGACACUGAGGCGCGAAAGCGUGGGGAGCGAACAGG